UCCUCUUACAAAGGCGCACUUGCAUUGGCCUGCUUGCCUGUGCGUAAGAACUGGAGGAAUAGUAAAAUGAAUAGUGACUUCUUAAUUCAUUACUG
rnacentral:snoRNA from 1 species